rnacentral:rRNA from 1 species
AUUGAACGCUGGCGGCAGGCCUAACACAUGCAAGUCGAACGAGGGGCGGGCGGGUGAGUACUGCUGGGGAAUACAUCUUAGGGAGGGGGAUCACUACGGGAAACUGUAGAUUAUACCGCGUUACAUGGGAUGAGCCCACGUGGGAUGAGGUACUUGGUGAGGUAAAGGCACACCAAGCAGAAGAUCUCUAGCUGGUCUGAGAGGAAGACCAGCCACACCGGGACUGAGACACGGUCCGUACUCCUACGGGAGGCAGCAGUGGGGAAUAUUGCGCAAUGGGGGCAAGCUGAUGCAGCCAUGCCGCGUGAAGGAAGAAGGCCUUCGGGUUGUAAAGUUCUUUCGGUAGCGAGGCGUUAGCUGCAGAAGAAGCACCGGCUAACUCCGUGCCAGCAGCCGCGGUAAUUC